rnacentral:rRNA from 1 species
AUUGAACGCUGGCGGCAUGCUUUACACAUGCAAGUCGAACGGUAACAGGGAGCUUGCUCCGCUGACGAGUGGCGAACGGGUGAGUGAUGCGUCGGAACGUGCCGAGUAGUGGGGGAUAACGCAUCGAAAGGUGUGCUAAUACCGCAUACGAACUGAGGUUGAAAGUGGGGGACCUUCGGGCCUCACGCUAUUCGAGCGGCCGACGUCUGAUUAGCUAGUUGGUGAGGUAAAGGCUCACCAAGGCGACGAUCAGUAGCGGGUCUGAGAGGAUGAUCGGCCCAACUGGGACUGAGACACGGCCCAGACUCCUACGGGAGGCAGCAGUGGGGAAUUUUGGACAAUGGGCGCAAGCCUGAUCCAGCAAUGCCGCGUGCAGGAAGAAGGCCUUCGGGUUGUAACUGCUUUUGUACGGAACGAAACGGUCCGGGUUAAUACCCUGGGCUAAUGACGGUACCGUAAGAAUAAGCACCGGCUAACUACGUGCCAGCCGCCGCAGUAACAC